rnacentral:misc_RNA from 1 species
GAUGAAGAACGCAGCGAAAUGCGAUAAGUAGUGUGAAUUGCAGAAUUCAGUGAAUCAUCGAAUCUUUGAACGCACAUUGCGCCCCUUGGUAUCCCGAGGGGCAUGCCUGUUCGAGCGUCAUUUCACCACUCAAGCCUGGCUUGGUGUUGGGCGACGUCCCCUUUGGGGACGCGCCUCGAAACGCUCGGCGGCGUGGCAACGGCUUUAAGCGUAGCAGAAUCUUUCGCUUUGGAAGUCGGGGCCCCGUCUGCCGGAAGACCUACUCGCAAGGUUGACCUCGGAUCAGGCAGGGAUACCCGCUGAACUUAAGCAUAUCAAUAAGCGGAGGA